rnacentral:rRNA from 1 species
GACGAACGCUGGCGGCGUGCUUAACACAUGCAAGUCGAACGAUGAACUUGGAGCUUGCUCUGGGGGAUUAGUGGCGAACGGGUGAGUAACGCGUGAGUAACCUGCCCUGGACUCUGGGAUAACUUCGAGAAAUCGGAGCUAAUACCGGAUAGGACCUUGCACCGCAUGGUGUGGGGUGGAAAGUUUUUCGGUUUGGGAUGGACUCGCGGCCUAUCAGCUUGUUGGUGAGGUAAUGGCUCACCAAGGCGUCGACGGGUAGCCGGCCUGAGAGGGUGACCGGCCACACUGGGACUGAGACACGGCCCAGACUCCUACGGGAGGCAGCAGUGGGGAAUAUUGCACAAUGGGCGCAAGCCUGAUGCGGCAACGCCGCGUGCGGGAUGACGGCCUUCGGGUUGUAAACCGCUUUUAGUAGGGAAGAAGCCUUCGGGUGACGGUACCUGCAGAAAAAGGACCGGCUAACUACGUGCCAGCCGCCGCAGUAACAC